rnacentral:rRNA from 1 species
CUUUAGACCUCAAAUCAGGUGGGACUACCCGCUGAACUUAAGCAUAUCAAUAAGCGGAGGAAAAGAAACUAACAAGGAUUCYCCUAGUAACGGCGAGUGAAGAGGGAAAAGCCCAAAUUUGUAAUCUGGCUCUUUUAUAGAGUCCGAGUUGUAAUUUUGAGAACUGUUUUCCGUG